rnacentral:rRNA from 1 species
GGGGAAUAUUGGACAAUGGGGGCAACCCUGAUCCAGCAAUGCCGCGUGUGUGAAGAAGGUCUUCGGAUUGUAAAGCACUUUCGACGGGGACGAUGAUGACGGUACCCGUAGAAGAAGCCCCGGCUAACUUCGUGCCAGCAGCCGCGGUAAUACGAAGGGGGCUAGCGUUGCUCGGAAUGACUGGGCGUAAAGGGCGUGUAGGCGGUUUACACAGUCAGAUGUGAAAAUCCCCGGGCUUAACCU